rnacentral:rRNA from 2 species
UGGGGAAUAUUGGACAAUGGGCGAAAGCCUGAUCCAGCCAUGCCGCGUGAGUGAUGAAGGCCUUAGGGUUGUAAAGCUCUUUCAGUAGGGAAGAUAAUGACGGUACCUACAGAAGAAGCCCCGGCUAACUUCGUGCCAGCAGCCGCGGUAAUACGAAGGGGGCUAGCGUUGUUCGGAUUUACUGGGCGUAAAGCGCACGUAGGCGGAUCGUUAAGUCGGGGGUGAAAUCCUGGAGCUCAACUCCAGAACUGCCUUCGAUACUGGCGAUCUUGAGUCCGGAAGAGGUGAGUGGAACUCCUAGUGUAGAGGUGGAAUUCGUAGAUAUUAGGAAGAACACCAGUGGCGAAGGCGGCUCACUGGUCCGGUACUGACGCUGAGGUGCGAAAGCGUGGGGAGCAAACA